GAGGAGUAGGAAGGAAUGUGACAGGAAGAAGGUGCCGGAGAGCUGGGGAACCAAGGAAAGUGCUAGAGGGAGAAGAAGGCCUGUGCGCUGAGGAAGAAGGACGUGAGCUCGUAAGGGAAGUACGGGAUGUGCUAAUAUUUAAAGGAGGUCUGAGAAGGGGUAAAAAUGGAAUUUUUACCGCGCCGGCGUUUCGAGUUUUUCGGGAGUACUGGUUGUCAUGGGCGCCCGUUUCGAAAAGAUUGCAAUCAUCAGAUUGGAGACCGCGAAACGGAAGGAUAUUUUCAUUGCGUCUGUUUCGGAAGGGAAGUUGAAAAGAAUUUCGAAGUAAAGACUACGUUUUACUCCGAAACUGGGGGGCAUGUGUUGACGCCAGAUUUCGACACGAGUGAAAUCGGCGUUAAGAGAGGAAGAAAUUAGAAGAUAUGGGGAGAUACAAGGGUGACGAUUGGAAAUCGGCCGAUUGGUGCUACAGUCAAAGAUCGGUUGGUUGGUGCUACAGUCAAAGAUCGGUUGGUUGGUGCUACAGUCAAAUAUCGGUUGGUUGAUGCUACAGUAAAGGAUCGGUUGAUUGGUGCUACAGUCGAGGAUCGGCCGAUUACUGCUACAGUCGAAGAUCGACCGAUUGAUCCUUGGAUCUCCGCCCCGGAGUAAGUCUGAGCCCUCGAUAUGUGGGUCCUGAUCGGUUACCCCUUGCUGAUGAGGUGAUCGGCUGAUUAGGAGGUUGGAAUAGUUGGGCCGGUGUGGGCUUAAAAAGGAUUAUGAAGAUGAAGAGGGAAUCAGCCCAUGAAGCGCGUGAUAAUUAACCUAGUACGAAUCGUACUUGUAAAUAUUCGUUUUCUGUUUAAAUUAGGGAUAGAGUUCUAGUCGGAUAAGAAGUCGUUUGUACGGGGCUAUAAAUAGCCACCCUUGUAGAUCUGUAAUCAUCAUCAACUCAAUACAACAAACUACUAUUUCCUCGUACUUACUUUCAAGCAGGCGACUUCGCCA
rnacentral:lncRNA from 1 species